AACGAACGCUGGCGGCAUGCCUAACACAUGCAAGUCGAACGAGACCUUCGGGUCUAGUGGCGCACGGGUGCGUAACGCGUGGGAACCUGCCCUUAGGUUCGGAAUAACUCCCCGAAAGGGGUGCUAAUACCGGAUAAUGUCUUCGGACCAAAGAUUUAUCGCCUUUGGAUGGGCCCGAGUUGGAUUAGCUAGUUGGUAGGGUAAAAGCCUAACAAGGCGACGAUCCAUAGCUGGUCUGAGAGGAUGAUCAGCCACACUGGGACUGAGACACGGCCCAGACUCCUACGGGAGGCAGCAGUGGGGAAUAUUGGACAAUGGGCGAAAGCCUGAUCCAGCAAUGCCGCGUGAGUGAUGAAGGCCUUAGGGUUGUAAAGCUCUUUUACCCGGGAUGAUAAUGACAGUACCGGGAGAAUAAGCUCCGGCUAACUCCGUG
rnacentral:rRNA from 1 species